AAUAGAUGUUUGAUCUUUACUAGGCUUCCAGAAUGCAGCUUGUCAACAAGUUCAUCCUCCCAUACAUCUUAUGUGGAUUUCAUUGUUACAGUCCAAAACCUGGAAAGAGCUACGGUCUGGAACUAACUUGCAGAGGAAAGGAAACAGUGCAUGAGGAAGACCGAGACAGACAAAACUAUCAUGUGUGUAUAAAAUUAAGUUCCUGAUGGGUCAAGAUUGAAGACCAGUUAUCCUCAUUAAACACAUGUUUUAAGUAGGCUGAUAACCUACCUCUUACUUAAGGUACAUCUCUCAUUUCAUUCAUUUGCCACAUGAGUAAAGGGAAGACUGAAACCA